rnacentral:tRNA from 1 species
CGGGGCGUGGCGCAGUUUGGUAGCGCACAUGGUUUGGGACCAUGGGGUCGUAGGUUCAAAUCCUAUCGCCCCGACCA